GCCAUUAGGAGGACGUCCAAGAUAAAAUGAUGUAGUUGGAGACUUGUUCAUACAUGCACUUGGUCACUGUAGUCUGAAUUAUUCCCUCUCCCAUUUCAGGAAAUUCUUGGAGUUACGGACAUUGAUAUGGUGGUUAAUCUAAAACUGAGGGAAGAUGUCUUAGGGCGUGUUUAGUUUGCGAUUUUUUUUUUUGAAUUUGGCUACCGUAGCACUUUCGUUUUUUACUUCAAUGUGGCUUGCAUUAAUGUUAAAGGUGAAAAUGGAUUACCAGCAAUCUACAUGGCACCAUUAUUACCCCCAAAUAACUGCAUGUCGAAGAUGAUCACCCGAGCUGAUGAUACUGAAGAGGUGGUCAGAAAUCGGCUUCGGAUCUAUAAUGACAUGAGUCAACCUGUGGAGGAUUUCUACCGGGGGAAGGGGAAGCUCUUGGAAUUUGACUUGCCUGGAGGGAUCCCUGAAUCUUGGCCAAAGCUUCUCCAUGUUCUGAAUCUUGAAGACCAAGAGGAGUUGAAGUUGGCUGCUGCUGCAUAGUCCUCAUGGAGCAGACCUCUACAUUCUCAGAAAAAUCGAUCACAUUUUUUUUAAUAAUGGAAAAGAGCAAACUUACUCCAUAAUUUAGUGCCUAUGCGGAAG